rnacentral:rRNA from 1 species
GAGUUUGAUCCUGGCUCAGAAUGAACGCUAAUCAUAUGCUUAACACAUGCGAGUUGAACGGAAACUAUUUCAUAAAUAAAUUUAUUUAUGAAAUAGUUUUAGUGGCGAACGGGCGAGUAGGAUGUAAAAUACAUUGCCUAUAAGUUUAAGUAAAUUUAAAAACGUAAUAGUUUUUUGAAAAAUCUUAAAUAAAAAAAACUUUAUUUUAUUUAAAAUAGAGGAUUAGAUAGAAAGAACAUUGUUCGCUUAUAGAUAUAUUUACAGAGUAUUAGGUUGUUGGUAUGAAUAAAUGCAUACCAAGCCAAUGAUGCUUAGUUGAUCUGAGAGGAUGAUCAACCGCACUAGAACUGAGACAAGGUUUUGACUUAUUUAAGGCUGCAGUGGGGAAUAUUGGACAAUGGGAAAACUCCUGAUCCAGCAAUAUGGUAAGGGUGAUUGACGGCUGUAAAGGUAGGUUGUAAAGCUCCUUUAUUGAGGAAGAUGAUGACGUUACUCAAUGAAUCAGCCCCGGCUAAUUUCGUGCCAGCACCCGCGGUAAUACGAAAGGGGCUAGUGUUAUUCGGUCAAAUUGGGUGUACAGAAUUCUAAUGCAGUUUUUUGCAAGUUAAAUUUUAAAUGUCAAAAGGACUAUUUGGAAUGAUUUUUAAAACUGAAUUUCUGGGGUAGUUUACGGGUUAAUGGUAUUUUUUCAAUAAGGUUCAUAUCUAUUUAAUAGAAAAGAGAGGACCUAGGGCAAAGGCAAUUAUCUAGUUUUUACUGACGCUGAAGAAUUAAGUAUAGAACUCUUGGGUCUAAAGUUACAGCUAACGCGUUAAACAUUUCACCUGAGAAGUACGGUCGCAAGAUUAAACUCAAAGGAAUUGGCGGGAGCUUAUUAAAAACGGGGAGCAUGUGGUUUAAUCCGAUAACCCGCGCAAAAUCUUACCAGUUUUAACAAGAUGCUGCAUGGCCGUCGUCAGUCCCGUGUCGUAAGAUGUGUUACGAAAGUACUUAACGGACAGGAUCCUUAAUUAUAAUUACUACAUAAAAACAAUUUUUUAAUAUUAAUUAACUUUGUUUUUAAGAACCUUAUAAUACCGCUAAAUGAAAAGUAAAGAAUUAUUUGAUCUAGUAGCACUGUUCUUCUGAGCAGACAAUCUGAUUUGUGAAAAAUUAAAUAAUUCUUUAAAUAUUUUAUUUAAAGGCAGGAGGGGACGAAGAUAAGUCGUCAUGGCUUUUAUAAACUGGGCUACACACGUGC